AGGAAAUGGAGGCACCUUACAGGAAAAAUUACCAAAGAGGUGGUGGAAGAAAUUCUGGAAAGAAGAAAACAGUCACUGGAACCCAGCUAGAAUCAACUAAGAGAAGAGAUGUGAAUAAUACAAAUUAACAGGAGUGACUGAAGAAAAUCUUUGUCAGAAAAACCUACCAUGAAAUGAUGCUCCUGAAGUUAUACACUUGACAUUUCCAAGAUAAGUCUAAAUUACAGGCCCAAGAUUCUAUUAAUGAAGGGACAGGUGAAUGCAGAGAAGCUCCUGGCAGGGUUGCCUGGAUUUUUUCAAGGCUAUGAGUUGCACAAUCGAGCAGAAGAUUCUUUGAAGCUACAAGAAGAGGUCAAAGCAGCAUGUUCACAAGGUGCUGAUCUUCUGCCUCUGUGUCCUCUUGAGAGUCAUGGGGCAAGUUUUCCCAAUCUAUAGACUGCUCCUGCCACCCCAUGUAAGUAAAAGCUUGAUCUUGUAAAUCAACCAGUGAAUAAAACUUGUCAAGAUUUUUAUUCCUGAGUGAUCCCCAGGAAGAUGGAAAGGUGGUUGCUGAACAUGUCUUAGCCUCUGGUCUCUAUACUCCUGGGUUCUCCUAAGACAUAAUAAAUAAGGAGAUAUAUAAGGGUUUCUACCAAACUCCUAUGUUACCAAUUAUCAACUCUAUAUCAGAGGAAUCUCUAACAACAUCCAAGGUUCAGACCUAAAGGUUAAGAUGGUUUCAGUAUAAAAAGAGGAAAAUAAGCUUUAGAUCUCAGUAUAUUCAGUUAAAGAUAGUAUUUGUAAUUCUUAUUUAAUUUUUUCUAAUUUAAAUGGAAACAAAUUUUUU